AUGAACGCUGGCGGCGUGCUUAACACAUGCAAGUCGAACGGGAAUUACUUUAUUGAAGCUUCGGUCGAUUUAAUUUAAUUCUAGUGGCGGACGGGUGAGUAACGCGUGGGUAACCUGCCUUGUACAGGGGGAUAACAGUCAGAAAUGGCUGCUAAUACCGCAUAAGCGCACAGAGCUGCAUGGCUCAGUGUGAAAAAACUCCGGUGGUAUAAGAUGGACCCGCGUUGGAUUAGCUAGUUGGUGGG
rnacentral:rRNA from 1 species